UCCCCGAAAAGGCAAAUUACUCCGAAAGGGUAAGGCGCAAAUCAGAAGGCCUGUAGCUGCCGCUUCAGAAAUAGUAUGGAUGCUUUUGAUGCCGAA
rnacentral:ncRNA from 1 species